rnacentral:rRNA from 1 species
AACGAACGCUGGCGGCAUGCCUAACACAUGCAAGUCGAACGGGAUCCUAGCUUGCUAGGUGAGAGUGGCGGACGGGUGAGUAACACGUGGGAAUCUGCCUUUUGGUUCGGGAUAACCGCGGGAAACUGCGGCUAAUACCGAAUGCCCUGAGAGAGGAAGAUUUAUCGCCAGAAGAGGAGCCCGACGUCCGAUUAGGUAGUUGGUGGGGUAAAGCCUACCAAGCCGACGAUCGGUAGCUGGUCUGAGAGGAUGAUCAGCCACACUGGGACUGAGAUACGGCCCAGACUCCUACGGGAGGCAGCAGUGGGGAAUAUUGGACAAU